CACGGAGGGUGCGAGCGUUGUCCGGAAUCACUGGGCGUAAAGGGCGCGUAGGCGGCGCGAGUAGUCAACGGUGAAAGCCCGGGGCUCAACCCCGGGUCGGCCGUCGAUACUCUCGUGCUUGAGCACUGUAGAGGCAGGUGGAAUUCCGGGUGUAGCGGUGGAAUGCGUAGAGAUCCGGAAGAACACCGGUGGCGAAGGCGGCCUGCUGGGCAGUAGCUGACGCUGAGGCGCGACAGCGUGGGGGAGCAAACAGG
rnacentral:rRNA from 1 species